UAGGGAAUCUUCGGCAAUGGACGGAAGUCUGACCGAGCAACGCCGCGUGAGUGAAGAAGGUUUUCGGAUCGUAAAGCUCUGUUGUAAGAGAAGAACGAGUGUGAGAGUGGAAAGUUCACACUGUGACGGUAUCUUACCAGAAAGGGACGGCUAACUACGUGCCAGCAGCCGCGGUAAUACGUAGGUCCCGAGCGUUGUCCGGAUUUAUUGGGCGUAAAGCGAGCGCAGGCGGUUAGAUAAGUCUGAAGUUAAAGGCUGUGGCUUAACCAUAGUACGCUUUGGAAACUGUUUAACUUGAGUGCAAGAGGGGAGAGUGGAAUUCCAUGUGUAGCGGUGAAAUGCGUAGAGAUCUGGAGGAAUACCGGUGGCGAAGGCGGCCCCCUGGACAAAGACUGACGCUCAGGUGCGAAAGCGUGGGGAGCAAACAGGAUUAGAUACCCUGGUAGUCCACGCUGUAAACGAUGUCGAUUUGGAGGUUGUGCCCUUGAGGCGUGGCUUCCGGAGCUAACGCGUUAAAUCGACCGCCUGGGGAGUACGGCCGCAAGGUUA
rnacentral:rRNA from 1 species